rnacentral:rRNA from 1 species
UACGUAGGGGGCAAGCGUUGUUCGGAAUCAUUGGGCGUAAAGGGUGCGUAGGCGGCGCGGUAAGUCGGGUGUGAAAUCUCGGAGCUUAACUCCGAAACUGCAUUCGAUACUGCCGUGCUUGAGGACUGGAGAGGAGAGUGGAAUUUACGGUGUAGCGGUGAAAUGCGUAGAUAUCGUAAGGAAGACCAGUGGCGAAGGCGGGUCUCUGGACAGUUCCUGACGCUGAGGCACGAAGGUCAGGGGAGCAAACGGG